UCGAGCUCGUGUGGCCAUUACCGGUACGUGUUAUAGACAAAUCCUGUAACUAUCCUUUAAUCUCUCGAGCUUUGUAUAUAUAGCGUUUCGUUGUUUGUUCUAUUCCUGUUUGAAUAUGCGACUGUAACAAAAUUCAUGAAAAUUGAGCUUUUGUAUAUAAAUUCCUACUCUAUGUUCUGUCAUUGAUCUGUCUCAUUUCUCUUGGAAUUUGUACUCUUGUUGUUGUUCUGUUGCCUCUUCCAGUAGAAUAAGCUUGCUGGAAUCUGAUGUUGAAGAAGAGCCGCUAAGUAUUGUUUGAAACCAUCGAGCAGAAGCUUUAGGUAUCCUUGUGAGAUUGUUCUUGUAGUCAACAUAGUAGAUCCCAAACCGGACCGUGUAUCCUGAGUUCCAUUCCCAAUUGUCUAGCAAUGACCACACAAAAUAUCCUCUUACGUCGCAUUCAUCAUUCCUGCAAAGUGAAUGCGGGAACAUUUCAAACUCAAGAAUCUUUGUGAAUCUCUGCAAAGUGAAGAACUUUACCUUAUGGCAGCUGAUAAGUUUGAGAGGUGGGUUUCCAUAUAUGUCUUUAACAUACACUGCCAGUUUCCUGAUUCCCCAUGGGACAAUGUGUAGCCAGCUUGACCCUGCCUGUUUCAAGUAUGGUAAGCAGCAGCAUGAGACAACAGAAUGUUAUGAGCUACAAUAUACGGUUCGACCGAUGACUUCCCCUUCUUACAGAACCAAUGUCCCAGAAGUGAGCACCUUCCUGGAGCUUGUAUCCCUGUGUCAUAGCCUUGGAUCGAUACCCCAUGAGGCUCAUUGAAAGUGAUCCAGUACUUCACUCUAUCUCCAAAUGCUUUGAAACAGUUUGGAGAAGAUGAAGAAGAAGAAGAAUGUCACCUGGUAAGCUGAAGAAGCUGUUCCGAAUACAAAUCCAUCUGGAAAAUUUGCUCUGCUGAUAGAUUCUGAAGAAACGUGAUCAAGAGGUACGAAGAAGACGACGAAGAACGGAAACAGAACUAAGACGAGUCUCAUUAAAGAUUCCAUUUUUUGGGUCGCAUGAAUAGAGAAAGUGAGAGAAAGAGAGAGAUAAGGGGAUGGAAUUUUAUGGUGAAUGAAAGAUUUGGAGGCAAGAAAAUGGAGUUUUGGUGUGUGUGUGUUUUUAAUUUGUAAAGUUGAAGAAGAAAGAGGAAGAGUGCAAAACAAAAGCUCACGUCUUUUGAAGGCUUUUCUUUGGUUUUGACAUUUGUUCUCUCUACUUUUACUGCACACGUUUCUUAUACUUGUGCCAAAAACUUUUUAAAGUUGUUUACUCUCUUAAGAUAAAAAAAAAGUUUGUUACUGAGUGACACUGAUUCACCU
rnacentral:lncRNA from 1 species